rnacentral:rRNA from 1 species
UAAUACGUAGGGGCAAGCGUUGUCCGGAAUCACUGGGCGUAAAGGGCGCGUAGGCGGUAUNUAAGUCAGGNGUGAAAGUUUCGGCUCAACCGGAAAAGUGCACUUGAAACUAAUUUACUUGAGUACUGGAGAGGUAAGCGGAAUUCCUAGUGUAGCGGUGAAAUGCGUAGAUAUUGGGAAGAACACCAGUGGCGAAGGCGACUUACUGGACUGAAACUGACGCUGAGGCGCGAAAGCGUGGGGAGCAAACAGGAUUAGAUACCCUGGUAGUCCACGCCGUAAACGAUGAGUAUUAGGUGUUGCCGAGAGGCAGUGCCGGAGUUAACACAAUAAAUACUCCGCCUGGGGAGUACGGUCGCAAGACUGAAACUCAAAGGAAUUGACGGGACCCCGCACAAGUAGCGGAGCAUGUGGUUUAAUUCGAAGCAACGCGAAGAACCUUACCAGGUCUUGACAUCCUCUGACGACACUAGAGAUAGUGUUUUCCUUUCGGGGACAGAGAGACAGGUGGUGCAUGGUUGUCGUCAGCUCGUGUCGUGAGAUGUUGGGUUAAGUCCCGCAACGAGCGCAACCCUUGUGUUUAGUUGCCAGCGGUAAGGCCGGGCACUCUAAACAGACUGCCGUAGAUAAUACGGAGGAAGGUGGGGAUGACGUCAAAUCAUCAUGCCCCUUAUGACCUGGGCUACACACGUGCUACAAUGGGAUGUACAGAGGGUAGCGAAAUAGCGAUAUGGAGCCAAUCUCAAAAAACAUUUCUCAGUUCGGAUUGCAGGCUGCAACUCGCCUGCAUGAAGUCGGAGUUACUAGUAAUCGCAAAUCAGAAUGUUGCGGUGAAUGCGUUCCCGGGGUUUGUACACACCGCCCGUCACACCACGAAAGUCGGCAACACCCGAAGUCAGUGAGCUAACCUAACGGAGGCAGCUGCCUAAGGUGGGGUUGAUAAUUGGGGUGAAGUCGUAACAAGGUAACC